CACUCUAGAGAGACUGCCAGGGAUAACCUGGAGGAAGGUGGGGAUGACGUCAAAUCAUCAUGCCCCUUAUGCUUAGGGCUACACACGUGCUACAAUGGGUAGUACAGAGGGUUGCCAAGCCGUAAGGCGGAGCUAAUCCCUUAAAGCUACUCUCAGUUCGGAUUGUAGGCUGAAACUCGCCUACAUGAAGCUGGAGUUACUAGUAAUCGCAGAUCAGAAUGCUGCGGUGAAUGCGUUCCCGGGUCUUGUAUACACCGCCCGUCACACCACGGGAGUUGGAGACGCCCGAAGCCGAUUAUCUAACCUUUUGGAAGAAGUCGUCGAAGGUGGAAUUAAUAACUGGGGUGAAGUCGUAACAAGGUAGCCGUAUCGGAAGGUGCGGCUGGAUCACCUCCUUUCUAAGGAGA
rnacentral:rRNA from 1 species